UUAUACCGGAGAGGGAGCCUGAGAGAUUGCUCCCACGUCCAUGGACGGCAGCAGGCGCGAAAAUUGCCCACUCUUUGCAGGAGGCAGUUAUGAGACGUGAAGAGGAAUGUUUGGUAAAGAGAAACAGGAGAAUUGGAGGGCAAGUUUGGUGCCAGCAGCCGCGGUAAUACCGACUCCAAGAGUGUGUAUGAGAGAUGCUGCAGUUAAAAAGUCCGUAGUCUUAGAAGUGUAAAUUGGGGCGCUUGUGCCAGAUAGAUAUGAUGGAGGAGCCAAUGGGGAACAUAGUAUACCAGGGCGAGAGAUGAAAUGCCUAGACCCCUGGUGGACUGAGCGAGGCGAAAGCGAUGUUCUUGUGGGUGUUUGAUGAUCAAGGACGAAGGCUGGAGGAUCGAAAGUGAUUAGAUACCGCAGUAGUUCCAGCAGUAAAAGAUGCCGACAUGUGGACUGGCAACAGUUGACAGGGAGAAAUCUUAGAGUUCGGGCUCUGGGGAUAGUAUGCUCGCAAGAGUGAAAAUUAAAGAAAUUGACGGAGCUACACCAC
rnacentral:rRNA from 1 species